UUAUCAAAAACAUGUCUUUAUGAAUUUCAUGUAAAGUCUAGCUGCCAGUGACAUUAAAGUUUAACGGCCGCGGUAGCAUGACCGUGCUAAGGUAGCAUAAUCAUUUGUCCUUUAAUUGAGGACUGGUAUGAACGGCUGAACAAGAAAUCAACUGUCUCUGCUAUAAAUUUUGAAAUUGACAUUUAAGUGAAAAGGCUUAAAUGAGAUAGGGGGACGAUAAGACCCUAUAAAUCUUGAUGAUUAAGAUAAUAAAUUUUAGACAGUAGUAAUAAGUUUAAAUUUAAUGUGUUAAUUAUUUUGUUGGGGCGACAGGAGUAUAAGAAGUAACUGCUUUGAAAAAAUAAUUAAUUAUUUUUAUGAUGUUUUGUUUGUGAUCCUU
rnacentral:rRNA from 1 species